rnacentral:rRNA from 1 species
UACAGAGGGUGCAAGCGUUGUUCGGAAUUAUUGGGCGUAAAGAGCGUGUAGGCGGUCCGGUAAGUCCGCUGUGAAAGUCGGGGGCUCAACCCUCGGAUGCCGGUGGAUACUGUCGGGCUUGAGUACGGAGGAGGCGAGUGGAAUUCCUGGUGUAGCGGUGAAAUGCGCAGAUAUCAGGAGGAACACCGGUGGCGAAGGCGGCAUCCUGGACCGGCAUUGACGCUGAGGCGCGAAAGCCAGGGGAGCAAACGGG